rnacentral:rRNA from 1 species
UACGUAGGGAGCAAGCGUUGUCCGGAAUCAUUGGGCGUAAAGCGCGCGUAGGUGGCCUCAUAAGUCCGCUGUGAAAGUCAAAGGCUCAACCUUUGAAAGCCGGUGGAUACUGUGAGGCUAGAGUACGGGAGAGGCGAGUGGAAUUCCUGGUGUAGCGGUGGAAUGCGCAGAUAUCAGGAGGAACAUCGAUGGCGAAGGCAGCCCCUUGGACCUAUACUGACGCUGAUGCACGAAAGCGUGGGGAGCAAACAGG